rnacentral:misc_RNA from 1 species
CACAUUCCUCGUGUAACAUGACCCUAACAUAGAAAAUGUGUCUCUGCACAACAAAGUAUGAAGGUCCAGGUUGCACAAAAAUUUUGAUCAACAAAAUGUUGGGGGUCUAAAUCAGACAGCAAUCAUGCUCAAUGACACAAAUUGGCAGGAAGAGAGAUAAAAGGUCUAAUACGUACGCUGUGGAUCAAACCUCCUAGAUUCUUGCUUGUAGUAUGGAGUUUCAUCUAUUGUCCUUCUCACAUAGUCUACAAAAGGCUGAGGUGUUCGAGGUGACUGUUCGUUCAAAAUAGGGCUACUACGCUCGGGUGUAAGAGGUGCUGUAAUACUUGGAGUAGCAGGGGUUGGAUAUGGCUGAGUUCUGUUGGACAUCCGAAUGAAAUUUUUGAAAAUAAAUAUCGUUCCCAGUGCCGCAACUAAAGACCCAGCUACCAUUAGAAAUAUGCUGCUUUUGAAGAUGGUUUUUGAUGCAUCUCCAGCAUCAGGUUCAUAAUUAACAUCUAUUUCAACUCUCUGACUAUUGGCUGGAAGUGCGAUGAUAAUUUUAUCCUUGAAUCUCUUGGCUUUUAGCACUUUGACCUCAUAAUCUGCACGACCACCAAGACCAAAAUCUUCUUUAUGGAUAGGGCUGAUCUUUAUAAAAUCCUGGUUAUGCCAUUGGAUAUCAACAUCUGUAUUACCCAAGAUGGUUAUUAUAGUCUUGUUGGAGUCUGGUGUCAGAUUCAACUGCAUUAAACUCUUGUCCAUCUCCAAUAUAGAAAAGCCUCCAAUAAAAAGUGCAGACGCAGAUCCAGAGACAUGGUUGGCUUCUUUGAGUGAAGCAUUAAUGGAAACAGAUAUAUAAGGUCUCAUAUCCUUCAUUCUGGGUAUUGAGCGUUCCAAAUGCUCUGGUGAGUAUGGGAAGAAGAGGCAAUAGGAAUUACCCGUGUCAAGAUCCAUCCAUGGCUUUGCAUACCCAACAAAAGGAGGAUCAACCUUACAGUCAUAUGACAUUUCUUUACCAUUUUUGACAGCACCAAACUUUUGGUGAGGGUCACUGAACUUCACAGAGAAGCUAUAUCCUUUUGUUGGGUAAGGAACAUUUGUUAGCAUCUCUUUCGGAGCAUCAAUAGUGACAAUAUUUCCCGAUAGCACACUAACUGCUGUUUGCAAUUUCAUACUUGGAGAUUCAAAAGCUACUUGGGUCGAACCUAUCCCAACUGCUUCAGCUUUU